CACAAAAGGACAAUGUUCGCAUUACUGCAUUCAGCAAAUAGUAACAACCAUUCCUCAUGGACAUUUUCACCACAUUGGCAAAUGCUACUCCACUCACUUUAUGUUUGUCAACCUCAACACCACAUAAACUGAAGCGACAAAUCAUGGCAUGAGCAAUAUUCAACCCAAUACUAUACCACACAUGAAUUUAUCUGCAUUCUAAAGAGUUAAUUUUAAAUCACAGUUUAAAAAAUUACUCUGAGGAUUUUUAUUAAAAUUUUUUAACCAUUUUAUACUUUUUACUUCAUGGUUUUAAAAUUAUUUUAAGUGCAUAAAGUGCUUUUAAAGUGCAAUCCUUUCCAGAUCCAAUAAAUAAAUAAAGGGCAUCGUAAAAACCCACCAUUACAAACAGGAUGAAUUCACUGGUCUUAGCUGGAACCCUCUAAUUAGCACCAGAGCCCUAGAGACAGUAAGAGUUGCGACACUCCCAUAGGGUGCCGUUGUACGCUUUCUUUCGGUCUACUUCCGGGUUGUGGAGGCUUGUUUAGUUCCAAGCACGGCUUCGACAGUGAUAGCCAGCGUUCAUUUGCACUGCAGGUCGUUGAGUAUAUGUGGAGUAUCCCGAGAGCCCUCACUGAAGACACGAAGACCCUCAUUGUUUCUCCCAUUGUCAAUAAAACAUACUAUUUCAUUCAUCAAAGCAUAA